UCCUGUCAUAAAUGUGAAACCAGAGAAACAAAAUUAAAAUUUCAAAAAUCAAUGCUUAAACCCUUUUGUGGCAAUACAUCAGAGAAACGUUGUGUGUUCACACGUUGUUAAGGGGCAUGUGACCUUUCCAAAAUGAGUUUAAAUACCAUCAACCAUAGGAGGUUUGCAGGGCCGUCUGACAGCACGCGCAAGUGGAGCGGUCGAACAGGGCCCCGAAAUAUAAAAAUAAAAAAUUUAAGGCUUUUUGGAAAUAUAUAGAUAAAUUAUGGUAAGAAACUUUAAAACUUUAGAUAUAAUGCUAAAUUUAGAACUUAUAAUUAAAAAAAAUAAAACAAAAUUUUAAAAUUUUAAAAUUACUUGAUAAAAUAUACGAUUAAUAUUUUUUUUGAACAGGGCCUCAAAUUAAUUUGAGACGGCCCUGGAGGUUUGUACAAUAGCUUAAACUAAUCAUCUUUCCAUUUCUCAGCAAACAUUAUACACACACUAAGUCAAAAAAGAUUACCAAAAACUAACCGUAAGAGAAGUUCCUUUCCACUUUAUUAGGUGACAAGCAAACGAAUUUUCAAACUAGUGAAAUCAAAUUUUUUGUCUCUAAAUUAAUUAUGCCUGUCCAUAAACACAAUAUUCAUAUGCCUCUUCACCUCUCAUAUAAACCAAGAACAAUCUCUGAAAAGUGAUCCGAGGAGACAACUUCUCUAAGCUAAGCUUUGAUCAAAAAAUAUCUAAGCUAAAAGACAAAUCAAUCCUCAUCAAAAGAACUCUUCCAAGUUGAUUUUUCUGUUAUAAAUCUAAGCUUAAUCAAACAAAUUCAAAAUUGAAUAGAAGCCAAAGAUCGAAACUUUAAAAGUUAUAAAUCAGAGAUCCAUGAAAAGGGUUAUCUCAUCAGAAUCACAACCUCACAUCUAU
rnacentral:lncRNA from 1 species